rnacentral:lncRNA from 1 species
GCUUCAGCUCAGAAUGAGUCCGCUCUGGAGCUGAGUGCCUGACCAAAAAGGUCGCUCCUCGAGAAGGAAGUGUUAAAGGCGCAAGAGCAGGUGGACCAAUGUGCAGGAAGGUACAUGAGGUGCCUAGGAGUCACAGCAAGACCAAGCUGUGAGGAGGAUCCCACAGCAACACAGGGCCAGUUCUUGUGGAUCACUAUGUAUAUGUUGAGAGCCAGUAACAUCAGCGUUGGCAAUUAGCCUGAGAUCAGUGCCUGGAACAAAAUAAAUCCACCAAAGUUUCCCAUAUGCUGCCCAGAUGUCCUACAAAUAGAUUAUGAGAUACUGCUUGUUGCUCCUUAUAUGUCCCAUCAUAACCACUGAUUCUUAAUGCUAUUUUUUUUUUUACCAUCUAGCUAUUAAAAAUGACAGGCAGAAUUAUGCAACAGAAGAUUCGUUUGGGAAAUCUCAUUCACAGUCUGCACAUAUACUCAAGGAGACAAGCCCAUUUCUUAAAUACAUCUGUAGUUUAGGAGGAACCUGUGAUAAAUCUAAACCAAGAAGAAUAUUUUGAUGAGCUGAGGCUAAUAAUGCAUCCUUGCCUCUCAUGCUCCAGCAGAAAAAGAGCUAAUGAAUUAUUGACAAUCUAAGGAUUUUCUGUUAUAUAAACCAGAAGCUCUAUUCCUUAAUACAGAGCAGCUCCUCACUAUGUAGAAAGGGGAGUAUGUGCAAAGCUGGCAAGAUCGUUCAAUAUGACAGAACUUGUCAAAUACAAGAAACCAGGAACUACUGGUAUGUCUUGAAGAGAUCAUUUCAUAUCCAAACCUCCAAUCCUUGUAAGUGCAGCAUCAGGAAGCAAGAUGGACUUCAGAACAAUGCAUAUUGCUACCAGAAGUACCAAUGGAAAUUACAGGAUGAAAAGGAUUUGUGGUGGCCCUCUGCAAAGAUCAUUUCUCUCCAUUAUUCUUCAUGGGACAAAACCUCGGCUUCUCUAAAUGCAGUGGUGGUGCCCAUGGGCUGAGAGGAGCACGAAGUUUGUUGACAUCACCGACCUGCAGAGACAGCAGAAGCGGAUACCCAAUUUAGGAACAUGUCUACAGUGUGAACACUGGGGUUUGUGUUGCUUUUAGAAUUCCCACGAUGCACCAUUUCACGCUUUUUGCUGCUGUUACGGCUCGGUGCAGAUUAUUGCUCUGGGCCCUGUCUGUGUCUUCCUAUUGAGCACAGAGUCAUGUCAAGGAGAACGUCCCACUGACAUAUCUAUUUGCACUGUCCUCUACAAAAAUUUACCAUGGCCCAUGAACAGAAAAAAUACUCCCUCUGAACUCUUACACACAUACUGCUUAAGAUAAGGCAAUUAAAUGAUUUAGUUCUUGGAUGUAUCUACUUUUAGCAUAUGGAUUUCAUAUGCUGUUGGCUAUGAAAAGAAUGAACACUCCAGUAAAAGGAAUAUUAGUUAAUGGAUAAGAAGAAGGUCACUCAAAUUAUUUCAGCACUGGAAGAAGAGUUGGUUUUGCACAAGGUUGUGAAUAUCUGGAAAGGACUGGUAAUACCAGAUCAUCCUUUGAUUUAGCCAUUUAAAUAUUCUGUUAAUGUUCAUAAAUCUUUAAGGAUCUGAUCCUGUGAAGUCAUAUUUGCAUGAAUAAGCCUUAUUCACAAACAGUCUCAGUGACUUAUGUUGGUUCAUUUGCGUCAGAAAAAAAUAAUCGGGAUGGUAGUACUGGGUCCUCUUAUAUUUAUAAACUCUGAUCAAGAUUAUUUUAUGAGGUAAACUUAAGAACCAUCUGGCAUCACCUAUCAUUUCCUGCUGCUUAAUUGCAAUAGCUAUGUGUAGAAGUCAGUGAGUAUUAGCAAUUUCUUUCUUAUCUGAGGGCAGCCAAAUGACCUUCUCCAUUAGACUUAUAUUCCUUCCUAAGAGAGGAUUACUCCUUUGACUUCUAUUUAUCAUAUGAAAUGGAUGUGUGAGACAAUAAGCCUAUGAGAAAUCCACUAGUGGGGCUGCUCAUGGGACAUGUUCUCGAGAGUGAAGUUUCUUCCACUAAGAAUAAUAGCACAUUCUUCCUACUACACACACAGCCAACUGAGGGGGAGCACAACAUCAGCUGUAUUUCAGUUCUUACAAAUCUCUGACAUUUUUAACAGCAAGUAGCUGUGCAUCACUUUACAGUAAUCUUCCCCAGAAAAAAUUACUUUCUUUUCCUUUACAGAGAUAUACUAAACACCCAUUAAUUCCAGCUGAAGUUACAGAUGCUUAGCUGCUCUCAGGAGCGAGUCUUUGAAUACAAACCUGCAAACCAGCUACUCGCAUGCAGCUGGUCAGAAAACUUGUUUUAAGAACUGCAGAACAGAGAUUUCAUCAACAAGAAUAAAUAUUUCUGUCCUUGGGGAUGUUCUUUUUUCUUAGUACGAGGUAUCACGCACAAGUCAACAGGAUGAAUAACACCAUGGGUAAUGUGGCAAGUAAAGUCAUGCAAGCUGGGAUCUGUCUUCCCUUAUACUGUUACAAUAAUUAUAUAAAUGAUUCAGUCCACAAAAUGCUUCUAGAGAUUCAACUUUAAAGGGAAUUUACCACAACAGAGAGAUGGGAUUUUUAUCUAAUCAAAGAAUUACUUCUUGCUAUUUACCCAAAUGAAAAGAUCAGCCAAUCUUUUUCAUUUAAAAAAUACUUUUGCAGCAAGUCACUCCAAGGAGAUUUUUGGUGCCUCUGAUAUGAAUAUUGUACUGUGGGUAAGGACUAUUAAGUGCAUCCACCUCGGGUGCUGUACCCUGCUGUCUUAUGCCUAUAUUCUGAGCAGUAAUAAUAUAAACACAAGUUGAAUUUGGAAAAAAAUGGCUCCUGCAUUAUAGAUUUGGGGUUCUCAGCAACUAUCCAAAUGAAUGUCUUAAAAUGAAUCUAAGUCAGCUUCAGUCAAAGGAAGAAAAAUCUCAGAGCCUGAGAAUCUCAUUGUGUCCCAUUAAGAAUCUCAUUGCAUGUCCCUUUGUAAACAAUACAGGGCUUGCAGUCUGGUCAUGGCUCCUCCUGGUGCUGCCUUUGGGGCACCACCCAACC